GGUGACGAGUGGCGGACGGGUGAGUAAUGUCUGGGAAACUGCCCGAUGGAGGGGGAUAACUACUGGAAACGGUAGCUAAUACCGCAUAACGUCGCAAGACCAAAGAGGGGGACCUUCGGGCCUCUUGCCAUCAGAUGUGCCCAGAUGGGAUUAGCUAGUAGGUGGGGUAACGGCUCACCUAGGCGACGAUCCCUAGCUGGUCUGAGAGGAUGACCAGCCACACUGGAACUGAGACACGGUCCAGACUCCUACGGGAGGCAGCAGUGGGGAAUAUUGCACAAUGGGCGCAAGCCUGAUGCAGGCAUGCCGCGUGUAUGAAGAAGGCCUUCGGGUUGUAAAGUACUUUCAGCGGGGAGGAAGGUGUUGUGGUUAAUAACCACAGCAAUUGACGUUACCCGCAGAAGAAGCACCGGCUAACUCCGUGCCAGCAGCCGCGGUAAUACGGAGGGUGCAAGCGUUAAUCGGAAUUACUGGGCGUAAAGCGCACGCAGGCGGUCUGUCAAGUCGGAUGUGAAAUCCCCGGGCUCAACCUGGGAACUGCAUUCGAAACUGGCAGGCUGGAGUCUUGUAGAGGGGGGUAGAAUUCCAGGUGUAGCGGUGAAAUGCGUAGAGAUCUGGAGGAAUACCGGUGGC
rnacentral:rRNA from 1 species